CAGCAGCCGCGGGAAUACAGAGGGUGCGAGCGUUAAUCGGAUUUACUGGGCGUAAAGCGUGCGUAGGCGGCUUUUUAAGUCGGAUGUGAAAUCCCUGAGCUUAACUUAGGAAUUGCAUUCGAUACUGGGAAGCUAGAGUAUGGGAGAGGAUGGUAGAAUUCCAGGUGUAGCGGUGAAAUGCGUAGAGAUCUGGAGGAAUACCGAUGGCGAAGGCAGCCAUCUGGCCUAAUACUGACGCUGAGGUACGAAAGCAUGGGGAGCAAACAGGAUUAGAUACCCCGUAGUCCCUGUCUCUUAUACA
rnacentral:rRNA from 1 species